AGAACUACCGGUGACGUUAACGACCGGUUCUACAGAACCAGUGCGAACCGGUAGAAACCCACCCGUGAAUGAUAUGAAAAAU